CAGUCGCCACGGGAAUACGUAGGUGGCAAGCGUUGUCCGGAUUUAUUGGGCGUAAAGCGAGCGCAGGCGGUUCCUUAAGUCUGAUGUGAAAGCCCCCGGCUCAACCGGGGAGGGUCAUUGGAAACUGGGGAACUUGAGUGCAGAAGAGGAGAGUGGAAUUCCAUGUGUAGCGGUGAAAUGCGUAGAUAUAUGGAGGAACACCAGUGGCGAAGGCGACUCUCUGGUCUGUAACUGACGCUGAGGCUCGAAAGCGUGGGUAGCAAACAGGAUUAGAUACCCCCGUAGUCCCUGUCUCUUAUAC
rnacentral:rRNA from 1 species